rnacentral:rRNA from 1 species
GAAUCACUAGUAAUCGCGAAUCAGCCAUGUCGCGGUGAAUACGUUCUCGAGUCUUGUACACACCGCCCGUCAAACUAUGAGAGCUGGUAAUAUCUAAAACCGUGUUGCUAACCGCAAGGAAGC